rnacentral:misc_RNA from 1 species
CCUUUCUACGGAGAAUUUCAGGCUUCCGUGUUGGAAGCCGGUGUGAGCCCCGUGCUCGUGGAAUGGUUCCACGGUCUCGCAUGGGGAUGCUGGUGUGGAAGAGAUCAUGGGCUUGGAUGGGAUUCGUUCCGUCCGGGAGUGGUGCGGAUAUGCUUUUGGGCUCCCGGACCGCCACCCCACAGUGGUUUCAUUGUGGCGCGGUUCGAUGCCCAUGCGUGGUGGCCGGCCCUGGGUGGCUGGUCGGAUCGUGUGGCGCGUGGUGGUUUGAGAACUGGAUAGUGGACGCGAGCAAUGAAGAAACGAUUGUGUUUCUUUUUGCUUAUCGCGAUUUCGCCAGACUCCUCUUUUGGAGUUUGGUUUCGAGAUCGAUCGUUUUGUGAUCAUUUUUAGUGUGAUGAUUUGUCGUCUGGCGAUCUUGCUAUCAGGAAUCCUGCGGGUGGAACGGCAGUGAAUGUUUGUUUUGCUGUUGCGCCGCUUGCAAGGGCGU